AGCGAACGUUUGCGGCGGGCUUAACACAUGCAAGUCGAACGGGCUGUUCCUUCGGGGGCAGUCAGUGGCGCACGGGUGCGUAACACGUAGGUAAUCAACCCUCUGGUUGGGGAUAAUACUUCGAAAGGAGUGCUAAUACCCGGUAUGGCGCAGCGGUCUUCGGAUCGCGGCGAGAAAGACCCGCAAGGGUUGCCAGAGGACGAGCCUGCGGCCCAUCAGCUAGUUGGCCGAGGUAACGGCUCACCAAGGCGAAGACGGGUAGCUGGUCUGAGAGGAUGAUCAGCCACACUGGAACUGAGACACGGUCCAGACUCCUACGGGAGGCAGCAGUGGGGAAUAUUGCGCAAUGGGCGAAAGCCUGACGCAGCCACGCCGCGUGAGCGAUGAAGGCCUU
rnacentral:rRNA from 1 species